CCGACCAGAUUCGGCUUUCCGAUGACCUCUUCUUUUUUUUUUUCAUUUUGAGCCGUUCGUUUUCUAUUCUAAGCACACAACAAGCAUCAGAGAAAAACGAGCAACUCACAAGGGUGGCCUUUAACCACGGGCUGCCGCCAGUUGGCGGCCGUCGGGCCAAAGUUAGAUCCGAACCCAGCGAGGCGCGGGGAAAGUUCGCGCCACUGCUUUAGCGUCGCGACGGUGGCAGAAGCUACGGUUCUGGUCUGGCGUUGUCCUUUGCGUGUCAUAAACGGAAGGUGCAAGACGCUCACAC